GACAGAGGGUGCAAACGUUGUUCGGAUUUACUGGGCGUAAAGCGCGUGUAGGCGGCUUCGUAAGUUGGAUGUGAAAUCCCACGGCUCAACCGUGGACGUGCAUCCAAACUACGUCGCUGGAGUCUCGGAGAGGAAGGUGGAAUGCUUGGUGUAGAAGGUGAAUUCGUAGAUAUCAAGCAGAACACCUGCGGCGAAGGCGGCCUUCUGGACGAUGACUGACGCUGAGACGCGAAAGCGUGGGGAGCAAACAGG
rnacentral:rRNA from 1 species